rnacentral:rRNA from 1 species
GACCUCGGAUCAGGUAGGGAUACCCGCUGAACUUAAGCAUAUCAAUAAGCGGAGGAAAAGAAACCAACAGGGAUUGCCUCAGUAACGGCGAGUGAAGCGGCAACAGCUCAAAUUUGAAAUCUGGCCCCUCCGGGGUCCGAGUUGUAAUUUGUAGAGGGUGUUUCGGGCGACGCGCCGGUCUAAGUCCCUUGGAACGGGGCGUCAUAGAGGGUGAGAAUCCCGUAUGCGACCGGUGACCGAGCCUGUGUGAAACCCCUUCGACGAGUCGAGUUGUUUGGGAAUGCAGCUCAAAACGGGUGGUAAAUUCCAUCUAAAGCUAAAUACCGGCCAGAGACCGAUAGCGCACAAGUAGAGUGAUCGAAAGAUGAAAAGCACUUUGGAAAGAGAGUCAAAAAGUACGUGAAAUUGUUGAAAGGGAAGCGCUUGCAACCAGACCUGCCCGCGGGCGAUCAGCCGUCCUUCUGGGCGGUGCACUCGCCCGCGAUCAGGCCAGCAUCGGUUCGGGCGGUCGGAUAAAGGCCUCGGGAACGUGGCUCCCCUCGGGGAGUGUUAUAGCCCUUGGUGCAAUGCGGCCUGCCCGGACCGAGGACCGCGCUUCGGCUAGGAUGCUGGCGUAAUGGUUGUAAGCGGCCCGUCUUGAAACACGGACCAAGGAGUCGACCAACUAUGCGAGUGUUUGGGCGUCAAACCCACACGCGCAAUGAAAGUGAACGGAGGUGGGAACCCCUCGCGGGGCGCACCAUCGACCGAUCCAGAUGUCUUCGGAUGGAUUUGAGUACGAGCAUAGCUGGUCGGACCCGAAAGAUGGUGAACUAUGCCUGAAUAGGGUGAAGCCAGAGGAAACUCUGGUGGAGGCUCGCAGCGGUUCUGACGUGCAAAUCGAUCGUCAAAUUUGGGCAUAGGGGCGAAAGACUAAUCGAACCAUCUAGUAGCUGGUUCCAGCCGA